rnacentral:lncRNA from 1 species
UUUUAAGCAUAAUGCAUUACUCAAAUUGUAGUGACAAUUUAGACAAAGAAAAGGUAUUUACAAAGUGUCAUGUGUACACGUAUGAAUCAAUAUGUAGUCAUCCGCAAGUAUCUACAACAUAGUAGUUUACAAAAUCAUCCAUGAAAUGGUAUUUUACAACCUAGAUUGAUAAAAAUAUAUCACUCAACAAUUUAGAAAACAGUGCAAUCCAGUUCGAACAAACAAAACACUUAAACUAUUGAAGUUCUUGUCGUCGGCCCUCCUGAUGGAAACCUUGAUGGAAACUAUCACGUCAUCCAAAUUGUGAUGGAAACCUUGAUGGAAACUAUCACGUCAUCCAAAUUGUGAUGGCAGCACCAAGUAGCCGAGUACACAAUCAUACCUAGCAUAUUUACAAAACAAUUAGAUAUUUGUAGGUAUGAAUAGAUAGUAGAAACAAGAGAACUGCAACAAAUGUAAACAUGAAAAUCUAUUAUAUAAUUAUAAAACGAUACAAAACAAAUGGCAUAGAUGUAACAAUAAAAGAGCUAAAAAGAAUGGAUGUGAUCAAACAAAGUUUAUCAAACGAAGCCUAUGACUGAGAAGUGCAAAACAAAACACAUGGAAGGAAACUUGCCAUCUCUUCACAAAAAAGAAGACACUUCCCAUCAUCACGUGUGUUGUACAGACAUACAAUAAGUUCUCGAAUAUAACUAUGCUAUUAGAAAAUCAAUCAACGUGAUGCUAAAAAAUCUUCUUACCUACAAGGAAAUAUAUUACAAAGCCUAGCCCCCUUGUACAUAGCACACGUACAUGAACGAGCAGAAUUUGCCCAACAUUCAAACAGCCAUCCAACAAAAAUGGGUGUACUUCAUGGUCAUAGUAAUACCUUGCUUUCAACGAAAAAUUUAAUUUCCCUAUUUGUAUGACAACAAUACAAAUCAGUAAAAAUAAAAGAAUGUCUAUCAACCUAUUUUAGAUGUCGGGACAAAUUAUUAGUAAAAACUAAAACACGCCAUACAUAUACACUGAAGUUUUCUCUAGAGCAUAAUUUACAAUGGAUUUUCAAAAUAAUUACAUUGCUUCCAUAGAUGAAUAAUUAUACACAGAAAUAUUCUCUAGAUGAAUGGCUUAUGUAGAUGAAUCAAUGGGCAAUGGAAAAUGUAUCCCUUAAGUGUAAUGGUUGGUGGUGUCCAGAUUAUUAUUAUUUUCUUCCUAGAAAACUAUUAGCAAAAGCACAAAUACGAAUACACUCGCUAAUGUCCACACCCUCUAAUAUUUUCUGAAGAUUGAUUUUACUUAGCUGAAUUUUGAGUACAAAUUUCCAAUGGUUUACUCUGUAGAAUGUUUUCACAGUUAUAGCUAACUUGGUCUAAGAAUAUGAAAUUGUCUACACUAGCUGACUUAGUUAUUUCUCCUCUGCUUUAGCUUUUAAAUAUGAUAUUUUAAAAGCAAUCUCUGAAUUUACUAUAUCUGACUAGCUGUACUGCAUCACAAUAUUACCUUCAGUGAAAUAUUACCUUCAACAUUGCCUUGAGUACACGUGCACCACACAAGGCCGGUCCUAAGAUUUGGGGGCCCGGGGCGAAACUAAAACUUAGAGGCCCUUGACAGAAAUAUGAGAAUAUUAGGCUAUGAAGAAAGUACACACUAUGUGUGAUGCAAAGUCAUGUUUAAUGCUUGAAUUACACGUGUAGGAGUAUAUUAUUUCAGGUGUCAAAAGGGACAGAAGACUCCAAAAAUGGUCCAAAAAUAAUUUGCAUCCAAAAUACAUGGUUGCAUUCACAUUUUGAGUCCUUCCAAUGACUAUUGUAAGACUGUUACAGCAAACAUGAGUAUAUGAGGAUUUAGAUAGAUGAGAAAAUCAAUACGAGUGAUGUGGAAAUAUUUUGUCAUAUCUUCUAAACUUACCUUUGUAUCUUUAAAAAUCAAAUUAUAUAGUGCCGAGAUAGUGAAAAGUUACUCCCGCGAAGUUGUAGGGAUGAUUAAAUUAAUAAUUUGUUACCCAAUUGUGCUAUCAUUGCUGAGUUCAUCUAUAAACUCACCACUAUGAGCAGCAUCCAAACCUCGUUCUUGCUUGAGAUCUAUAACACCACAUGAAAAUCAAUAUUAAAAGGCAGAAUCAAAACGAUUAAUUGUACAAACAGUGGAAAAUGUCGACCGACUGACAAUACUCGCCUUUAUAUAAAGGACACAAAGCAUCAGCGCAAAAAUACGGAGCAGGCGCCGCUGAUCUACUGCACGCACCACUUGAGAAGUUGAGAUCUGGAACUCCUCCUUCAUGGUUCAUCUGGCACGAUCUGAGCUAGAGAAGAAAAGGUCGCAUCCGCAGCAUGCCUGAUGCGAUGCAUGCGUGUAUUC